UUAAAGGAAAUUACACAAAUUUCAAUAAUUUAUUUUUUGUCCUACCACUUGCCCAGCGACAUUUCAAUUUGUUUAAGAGGGAAUUGAGUCAUUGCUUUGUAUGGGUUUUCCUGAUAUUUAAAAGCUAAAGAAUGGCUUUUGGAGUGAAAUAUAAUCAGACGAAUUCUUAGUCCCAGGAAGCUAAGCUGUGGGCACACCAAGAGCUUGUCUCAUCAUUCUGUGAGCACAUACAAGCAGAAGUCCUGAGCCAUGAUUCUCCAAUGAUAAAAAUUUCGUUCUUAUGAUUAGGUGUGACGGAACGAAUAGACAAGCGAUUGAUGAAUGCAUUAUCUAUUCAAGGACAGAUUUUCUCCAUUAAAAAAGUUAGGAUUUUUCAGACGGUCGUGCAAAGGCGGGGAGAUUAGGACAAACCAGACUAAACAUCGAAUGUCGUAUACAGGAAUGUAACCUGAACAAUCACCAGUCCUUCUAUAAAUAAAAAUCGGCAAUUAUAACAUAUGGUUUAUCAACGAUACAAGACACCAUCCCUAGGUAGUCACAAGUUCAUGGAUGUAGCUUACAGGGUUUCACAAAAGUUUGCGAUGUUUUAACUUUGUUCGUUUUUGUUUUAUAAAUGUGAAAUUUUGCUCGCA